rnacentral:rRNA from 1 species
AACGAACGCUGGCGGCAUGCCUAACACAUGCAAGUCGAACGAGACCUUCGGGUCUAGUGGCGCACGGGUGCGUAACGCGUGGGAACCUUCCCUUAGGUUCGGAAUAACUCCCCGAAAUGGGUGCUAAUACCGGAUAAUUUCUUCUGACCAAAGAUUUAUCGCCUUUGGAUGGGCCCGCGUUGGAUUAGCUAGUUGGUAGGGUAAAAGCCUACCAAGGCGACGAUCGAUAGCUGGUCUGAGAGAAUGAUCAGCCACACUGGGACUGAGACACGGCGCAGACUACUACGGGAGGCAGCAGUGGGGAAUAUUGGAAAAUGGGCGAAAGGCUGAACCAGCAAUGCCGCGUGAGUGAUGAAGGCCUGAGGGUUGUAAAGCUCUUUUACCCGGGAUGAUAAUGACAGUACCGGGAGAAUAAGCUCCGGCUAACUCCGUG